rnacentral:rRNA from 1 species
CCUACGGGUGGCAGCAGUGAGGAAUAUUGGUCAAUGGGCGCGAGCCUGAAGCAGCCAAGUCGCGUGAGGGAAUACGGUCCUAUGGAUUGUAAACCUCUUUUGUCGGGGAGCAAAAGACGCCGCGCGUGGCGUUCCGAGAGUACCCGAAGAAAAAGCAUCGGGUAACUCCGUGCCAGCAGCCGCGGUAAUACGGAGUAUGCGUGCGUGAUCCGGAUGUAUGGGGUUUAAAUGGUGCGCAGGCGGAAGAUCAAGUCAGCGGUAAAAUUGAGAGGCGCAACCUCUUCGAGCCGUUGAAACUGGUUUUCUUGAGUGAGCGAGAGGUAUGCGGAAUGCGUGGUGUAGCGGUGAAAUGCAUAGAUAUCACGAAGAACUCCGAUGGCGAAGGCAGCAUACCGGCGCUCAACUGACGCUGAUGCACGAAAGUGUGGGUAUCGAACAGGAUUAGAUACCCUUGUAGUC